CUCUCUGCUGCGUUCCUUUCGUUGCUUCGCAGCUUCACUCCUUCAGUCCUUCUCAGUUUCUCACAGUCAGACAGUGUCACCUUCUCUUUUUCUCUCAGAGAUCGAAGUCAGUUUCUCUUCUACUCUUCUUCUUCAAUUUGGGCAAUCAAUCAAUUGAAUGUAAGUAGGAUUCAAUUUUGUUCUAUUUAUUCAAUUCAAUUUGGGGCAAUUUUUAGGGUUAAGAAUUGAUGUCAAUUUCAAUUUUGUGGGUUUUGCUUUAGGCAUUUAGCAAUGGAUUGAAGAUUUUUUUUAUGUGCUUUGCUGUGGAAGUGUGGAACACUGGAACUUGCUUACGAAAGGAAGAAAGUGAGAUGCAGAGAGCUAUAGCUAUCUUGAUGAUGCCGUCGAAGCCUAUUUGGAGAGCAUUGUUUAAAGGCUGAAAUCAACUUGGUAAUUGAGCAAAGCUACUGCUUUCAAGGUUAAGCCAAAAUGUCAAAUCAUGAGCCAAAAUUGAAGCGGUCAAAAUUCAUUACUACAUGGUUUCAACCGUCGAGAUUCUCCGUAA